rnacentral:lncRNA from 1 species
AAAAACCAAGGUUUUUCCUGCACAGAGAGGGAUAUUUACAUUCUCCCCGGGGUGAUCUCUGAAACGUUGAUUAUUGCCGGUGAUAAGUGAACCGAGGGGAGAAGAACGCCAAAGAUGAGAAAAUGCUUACAAAGUGAGAUUGCAAAAUAUUUCCAAGGUCCCAGAGCCAGGAUUUAAGCCCAGACAGUGGGUUCGAGAGUCUGGACCCUGGACGACUCUUACACCUCAAUGUGAAUAGUGAGUGAUGGACAGAUGGAAGUACAGUUUAGAAAAGGCUGAUGGUGACCAGCUGUUCACCAGCUCUGCUGAGCAAACUGAGCCAAGCUCUAAUGUGAAGACUUCAGGUUAGUAAUAGGAAAAGUUCACCUGUGGUGAGGUUAGAAAGGGAAAAAAAGUACGCUAACAAAGGAACAGAAACUAGAAUGCCAUCUUUGGAUAUGUUUUAAAAUAGGUUGAGUCUUAUCUUUUUAGGAAAGCUUAAUGCUAUCCUGCUGAAAGCCAAGAAGAUACAAGAUGAGCUCAAAGCCCCUUUGAGCUUAUAAUUAAAGAAUUUUGUGAUGCUUUGCUUUCAAUUAAAGAUAUCCAUCUUUCUCCUUUUAAUAGGCGAGGGGUAGCUGCUUCCAUUGCUUUUCUUUGGUUAAGUAAGGAAAUCAUUACCUAUAGAGACACUAAUGAAAGGAAAUACUUAGGCCAAUUCUCCCCCCUGCCUAAAUAUCCUAAGUCCUGCACUCAUUAUAUUCACCCUGUGACUUUAGAAGGCCUUAUCCUGUUUGCAAAGUCUUGGAUUUCCAACAGAAACAGAACUUGCCUGAAAGGAUUAAAGUUUCCAUGGGGAAUAGAGGUUUUCUGCCUCUUUAGGGUUCUGCAAGCCCUACUGCCCUUCUGGAGAAUUAACUCCAGGGUGUUUUAGGAACCCAAGUGUGAUCCAAACUAACUGUACAUCUCUGAUGGCCCCAAAAUCUGCUUAGGGGCGUAGAGUCUCCUGCCUGUGAUACUGUGAAAAUGGCCCAUCUGAAGGGCAGAAGCCAUUCUUGAUCACCUCUGUUUUACAGAGCGGACAAGAAUCUGCAGACGUUUUACAUCAAAGUUAAGCAGAGUCCAAAACAAUCUAAAAAAGUUUUGGGUUGAUGCUAAAAUCAAGGCCUGGAGGGGAUAGCGGGGUGGGAUCUGGACUUACAAAAGCUUCCCUAGGAAUUUCGGCUCUUGGCAUGCACACCUACUCUCAAGGGAGAAGAGUUAAUGUUGUCAGGCACACCACAGAAAGAAGGGUGCCUCAGAGAAGGAUUUAAGGAGGGACGGCAAUUCCACUGCUACUCACCAGAAGCCAGUAUGACUUUAAAAUAUUGAUGAUGUUAUUUGCUGAAAGUACCGGAUUUUAAAUGCCAGAAUAGAAGAUUGGGUUUUCCAGUUGCAUACUCAGCAAAUGAGCAGAAACAGCACACGUGUCCCCGUUUAAUUUGUAAAGGACCUUAAGUCUUUCUGAAGACUAUCAAUUAAUGUGUCUGUAGCCAUAAACAUACCUAUGAACCAUGUUUUACAUUUAUGUAACACUGCUCAAGAAGUUUAUGCACUUAUUAGUCUUUGCAUAGCUUCAAGGAGCAGAUAAUAUUGAGUAUUAGAAAUAAAUUUUAUUUCUGCUGAAAUC